GAUUUCACCACUUUCAAUAUUGUUUUAUAUCCAUCUAGUGAACAGAAAAAUGAAUGGCUGAAAAUGAAUAUUAUUUAAAAAUAUGAUAGGAGUCUUGUAAUCAAGAUCAAGAGUAUAGAUCUUGUUUUAAAUAGUUUAAAGAAUUUUCUAACAAAAAUUCAAUUGAUUUGAAUAUCUUUACACCGUUAAACGAGAAAACGUCUCUUAUCCCCAUUAAAAUUACAAAUUUUGAAACCCUUUGAUCAUUAGGCAAAUGAUGUCGAAAAGAUUUGAAAUUUGAUUUCUAACACUUCAAGUGGUAUAAAUCAUGUUCAACGGAGCCGAUCGUCAAUUUGGAAGCUCUAUCAUCGAAAACAACUCGAGAGUAAACGGGCUCGUUUACUCUCGAGAGUAUUCUAGCUCAACUCUAUAUAUAAUAUAUAUAUAGGAAGAGAGAGUACAAGAGGGAUUUGGGGGGACACGUGUCACCCCAAGGUUCCCCAAACCCUCCUUUAAUGUAGAGAAAAAUAGAUAAAGAAUAGAUUUAUUUAAAUUUUAUCUAUAGACUAGGGAUGAUCAAACUUAGCGGAAUUACAAUUAGAUGGGAUAUUUUACCACAGUAGAUCAAUGACAAUUAACUAUUAAAUUUGUACGUCUAAACAAAUUCCAUUAUCUAAAUUUCGAAACCACAACGCCCGCAUAUUAAAAUGUCAUUUAUUUAGUUAAAAGUUCAUGUUCUUCGCCUACGGCAAGUCUCGAUUUAUUACGUAAUUAACUUACAAAUAGCUUACGCGUAAAAACGCAAGUUCUUAUAAACGAAAAGUACAACUUCACGUGCAUGCCAACUUCACAUAUGUUUAAAAUAUUGAAUUUAGAAAAAAAAAAAAAAAAAAAAGAGACUAGCUCACUUUCCAAGGCUCGUAUUUAAAUAUUCCUCCUCGAUUCCAUGACAUCUGAACUGCCCAAAACAAAAUCGACAUAUGGGUGCGUCAUGCAUGGCGAGGUCAAACAAUACAAUUAGGUGCAACAUGCAUGGCGAGGUAGAAUGGUAGAUCAUACACUUCCCAUCAUAGGAUUAACAAAAGUUCAAUAAUUUUUCAGUAAAAAUCAAAAAAUAUCGAUAUAACAAGUAAAAAAUAUAUGGUCAUUGGAGAGAAUAGGGUAAGAUAUACACCAUACUUUGGGCUAUAAUUAACUAUAUAUUCUUUAUCCACACUCCUAAUUAUAUUAAUAUAGAAAUUCCUCUAAAACGAUCAAUAUAAAAAUAUCUUUCUAAUUUAAUAUAUAUAUUAUAUAAAAUAUUCAUAUUUAUAAUAAUCAAUCUAAAAAUUGAAACGAAAUUUUUAUUUUGGUCAUUAUUCAUCACCAAUGCAGUUUUAAUCACUUAAAGAUUUUUGGUGAAAAUAUUAUAAGAAUGCAGUCGAAUGUACACCAUAUUAAAACUUACUGGUUAUGAAUUAAUGGUGAUAUAUAAAUACAAAGCUGGUUAUGAAUAGCAAAUUAAAGGAACUUUUACGAAAGUGACAUCAUCAUCAUAAUCAUCAUCAUCAUCAUCAUUAUGUUUUAAUAUUAAGGUUUGCGCGCAGGUAAGUUGUGCGGCGGUGAGUUCGAGUACCAUACAUUGUCUAUAAAUAGAGGCAGCCUGGAAGCAGCUCUCCACCCAAUCCGUCUACCGCCCAUUGAGAGGACAAACAUAUAGGCACAUACAGGCACAUAUAGCUAGCUAGCUAGAAGAGCCAUGGCUUCGAGCUGGUGAGCUACGAGAUUACCCACGACAACAUCGCCUUGCUGCGCCUGUUGGGACGGGAAACACCUCCUCAGCCUGGCCCUCCAUCAACGAUUUCAAUAAAGCAGUCAGGAGGGCCGUCGAUGACAAUGUGGUCGGCUCAUAACCGUACAGCGCAACUGCGUUCUCGGCGGCCUCGACUACAAUUCGGCCCCGAGGCGGUGUUGGUGGGGGCGUUUGCGAGCCUGAUCGCAAGCCUCAUCAGCUGCCAUUCCGACGGUGGCAGGUGUGACGGGCCAAGCGUACGGGCAGGAUUCACGCUGGCGCUCGCACAUGACUACUUGGUGCUAUCGACUGACUCCACUGUUAGUUUGUGCGCCAAAACGAGCUGACAGAGGCCACGAGGUGCCAUCGUUUGCUGUGGCGCUGCUGUCUGACAGUUCCCGCCGUCGGCUGCUUGGAGCUGGCAGUGUCGACAGUGCCAGUUGCCCCCCCCAAAUUACUCGCCCAUAUCUGACUACGUGGGGAAGUACGUAGGGUGGAGCAUAGAUGAUGUUGCGACAAAACUGCUGGAGCCAGCUGCUGGCCGCGUCGGCACAGCUUACAGUGCCGUGAGGAAGAGUCUGUCUGCCGAGGUGUGGCGCUGGUGAAGCCACAGUAACUCAGCCUAGUUAAUUUGGGCCUGCAUGCAUGCAUGGUCGCCCCCUCGUAUGGCGUAGUAUGUAUCACCGUUAGUAGGUGCGUGUCUGUUGGCUUCGAGUCCGAUUCUGAAACAGUUUGUUGUGCUCGUAUUUCCCUUUGAAUAAAAUAGGGGUGAUGUCCGUCGAUUCGGUCUCUGUCCUCGGCCUUGUAUGGUAAUAAAUUAUGCUUUGUGUGUGUCUUUAUUUAUUAUUUCGAGUGUUUGCUCUUCCAUCUCUGCUUAAGGCUAUGUUAUUUGAACUAGACCUAAUUGAUCUAUCUGCUCAGAAAACACCAGCCCGAUACGAUCUGGAUUGGGCCUGGUCCAUCGAACCAUUUGGAAUUGCGCACGGCUUGGCCUGGUCCGAUGAUCACGACUCGUUCCUUCCCGCCCAGGGCCGAAAGACCUAAAGUUAAGCGCUCGGCGCCAUAGAUCUGUGCAGCAUUGGGACUCGAAGGACAAUCAUCAAAUUAAAAUACACAGACAAUGGCGCGCAUGCUUUGUUCUUCUAACCACCAAACUUUUUACUACUUGCACUAGAAACGAUUAGUUACAAAGAAAAUAUUAUAAAGAGAAUAUGAGAAAUUUGAGGGACUAACUAGUUUUAACAGGUCCAAACACUAAAUUUUCAAUAUGACAAAAAUAACUGCAUGUGAACGUGUGUGUGUAUAUAAUUAAUAUCCACGCACGCUCGACCCGGUUUGUCUAUAUACGAGAGCACAGGAGGCGCGAUCUAAAAUUUGAUCACAUGAUGAGCAAUCCCAGCUAGCAAGAUCUGUUAGCAACUAAUACAUUUAACAUAGUUAUAUAUCCGUAAUAUCGCGGCUUUAAGUAGUAAAUAUUAUAUGUACCCAUCCUGGACUGAAGGUUGAGAUUUAGUUAAAUUUAUAAUUAUAUUCUAACUAGAUUAGGAUGAAUUUUUAAAAUUUGUAAUAAAUAAAUCAAGUAGAAUUUAUAUCUAGACUAGCUAGGUGCGUAAAAUUUAUAUAUAUAGAGAGAGAGAGAGCUAGGCUUUUAUAAUAUUUAUAUUGUUGAUACGGCGUUCAAUUCAACACAAAUUUUUUUUUUUAGAUUCAUUCAUUCCAUCAUAAUUAUUAAAAAUAUUUUUAUAUAUAUUUUUCAAAUAAAAUAAUUUAGUUAACUGGUUAUGAUAAUAUAAUAUAAAUGUUACAUGGUAAAUUUUCCAAUAAUGAGGAAUUUCUAUCACUUCCAUCUUAUUAUAAAAAACCAACAAUUAUCUCCUUCAUUUAAAAAAAGUAUAAAGAAAUAUUUUUAUUUAUACACGAUGGAUUAGAUGAACACAGAGGAACAAUAUAAUUUACUGGGGAGUACGUUUGGAAUGAUAUAUAUAUCUCCUCCGAGAAAAUUUCAGAUAAUAAUUAAUGGGUUAAUUACACCGGUAGUUCCGCAACCUUUUCACCAAUUUUUACUUGAGUUCCUAACUCUUUUUUUUUGCAAUUGAGUUUCUAAUCUCUUGAUUUAAUUUCAAUUAGGUCCCAACCGUUAAAAAACUGUUAAAAUAACAGAAUCGCCACAUCAGCGCUUAUGUAACAACCUUGUGCAUGUCAAUUAGGUCCCUAACUUGCACAUUUUUCAUUUAGUCCCUAAAAUAAAUUCAAAAUUUUAAAUUUAAAUUAAAAAUAAUAUUAAAAAAAAUUUUAACUAACAGAAAAUUAGAAUUUUGAAUUUGAAUUUAAAACUGAAUUAAAUUUUGAAUUGAAAUUCAAAUUUUAAAUUUAAAUUUUUAAUUGAAUCUAAAUUUUGAAUUCAAACUUAAAAUUUUGAUUUUGAUUUUGUAUUUCAAUUUACAUUUAAAAUAAAAGUUUCGAAGCCGAAAAUUUAAAUUUAAAAUAUGAAUUUAAAUUUAAAAAUAUAUUCAAUUUUGAUUUUAAAAUUUUAAUUUGAAUUUAAAUUUAAUUUGAAUUUAAGAUUUGAUUUCAAUUCUAAAUUUGAAUUUAAACUCGAAGUUCAAAAUUCACAUUUUGAAUUUGAAAUUUCAAAUCGAAGUUUGAAAUUAAAUUAGAAUUAGAAUUCCAAAUGUGAAUUUGAAUUUAAAAUUUAAAAUUAAAAAUUAAAUACAAAUCGGAUUUUGAAUUCCAAUUUAAAUUUGAAUUCAAAAUCACAAAUUUAAAUCUAUAAAUUAAAUUUUUUUUUUAAUUUAUAAAUUUAAUGGUUAAAUUACACUAUUGGUCCUCAACCUUGCACCAUUUUUUAAUUUGGUCCCUAACUUUUUUUUUUUGCAAUCCCGCUGACACAGCGGCCACCGUGGUGCUGACAUGGCGCCUCCCGUGGCGCUGACGUCGGGCUGACGUGGCAUUUCCCGACAAUUUUAACAGUUAUCUAACGGUUGAGACUUAAUUGAAAUGAAAUCAAAAAUUAGAGACUUGAUUGCAAAAAAAAAAUUAGGGACUAAAUUGGAAAAUAGUGUAAAGUUAGGACAUUGGAAUUAGCAAUAAUUAAUGGAUAGAAAUGGAUACAGCGGGAGCUAAAAAUCUUGUCUACGUUGUUUGUUUCAAUUUCUUUUCUAAUAAUGGUGGCUUAAAUGUCACGCUACAUUGACCUGAGGAUUCAACUUUAAUAUUAAAAAUAAAAAAAAAAUCAAAUGAAAAUCCGGUUCGUCCAAAUUACAAUGAUGUCCCUUUCAAUCACACCCGAUCCGCCAACCGAACAAUCCAACAGUCACGGCGCAAGAUCAAGCAUGCUGGACCCACACGUAACCAUGAAGUCUCAGCAACCUAGAUUUGGAAUCACCAAUGUACAAAAGAAACAACACUGCCUAAAUUAUAUGAAGAAUAUUACUAACCGUACUUAUUAGCGCAUGAUAAAAAAUUUAAUAUAUUAUAUUUAAUAUGUUAAAAACUUAAUUAUUUUAUAUUUCGGUUAAAUUUAUUAAAAAAUAGGGCAAUUGCCUAAUAUACCCUGAAAAGUUUCCCGUUUUCUUAUUUACCCUCUUAGAAGGCUAAUAUUGAAAAUACCCUUCUUAUGUUCAAGUUUUUUCUAAAAUAUCCCUAGAGUUAAGUUCCGUUAGUGAGCUGGCCGUUACUCUGAAAUUUAAUUACAUUUGCCCAUUCCAAUAUACCCUUGUACCGUAACAAACUUUUUAUAUACCCUUCAUAUAGCAAAUACUUUUCUAUUUUACCCUUCAGCCGGAUCCGGAGCCAGAAGCGUCAGGGUCCGAUGGAGCUGCGGCCCUCUGUGCUCCUGCGCGGGCCAAGGCAGGCGCGAUGAGGAGAAGGACGACGAGAGCGGCGAGAGAUGGGAUCGUCGGCACGGCCCUCUUGCUCCCGGCGCCGGCCAGGGGCGGGAGGAAGAGGACGACGCGACGACGAAGCGCGCGGCGAGGAGGACAACGAGAGCGACGAGAUGGUGGAUUGGAGGUGAGGUGUGGGAGUGGUGGUGGUCUGAGAGGAGAUGAGGCGAGGAGGUGAGUAGAGCGAGGAGCCGCCGGUGGUGGCGACAAAAUUGAGGAAGAAAGAGAGGAUAAUCUUAGGGAUUACUAUAAUAAAGUAGGGGCAAAAUAGGAUUUUUGUUCAGGUUUUAACUCUAGUAUAGAUUUAACGCCAUGUUUAACCGAGUUAAGCUAACGAGGGAUAACUGCGAGGGUAUUUGGAAUAACGGUGGAACGUAUGAGGGUCAUUUUAGAAAAGAAAAAAAAAGUAGGGUAGAUCGGAUAUUUUCGACGCAUCGAAGUAUAUAUAUAUAUAUAUAUAUAUAUAAUGAUUUUUUAAAAAAGUAUCAAGUAUUUGACGCGUGUAAAUUUUUUACCAUUAAAUCUAUUUUUUGCUAAAUUCCAUUCUUUAAAUUAUGAUACUUCACCAACCAUCAACUCAAUUCUAGAAGUCUCUUAUUAUCCUAACAGUACAUAUAUGAACGUCAUUCCAUGUCGUAGUAUAGGUUGUAUGUAAAUGGAUUAAAUAUUUUAUUAUGUAGUGGACAAUAAUUUUUUCGUGCCCAAGUUCUUUUCCAUUCCGAGUACUGGUAGGAUUAUAAAGUUCUCUCUCUCAUUAAGAUAAUCACAAUUCAAUUAAACUCUACAAAUUAAGUCCACUUAAACAAACUUGCGCCAGUUGAGCAGUCCAAUUAACUAACUAAUUAAAUAUAAAUUAUUUCAGAUAAAAAUAAGCUAAUAAAUUGCAAAUUUAAAUUUCUCCUCAUUCAUAAUUUACUCACAUGGGUUAUUCCAUCUAAAACCAUAUGCAUUAUUGUGAGGUUUGGUUUAGGGGAGGAGAAAUGUAAUUAAUAACUCUUCAGCACCUCCGGCGCGAUUGGGGGUCGAGAGGAGCGAGAAGAACAUGUGAGUCACUUAUGAAUGAGGACAAAUUUUAAUUUGCAAUUUUUUACCUUAUUUUUAUCUCGAAUAGUUUAUAUUUAAUUAGUUAGUUAAUUGGAUUGUUUGACCGGCUCAAGUUUGUUUAAGUAGACUUUGUAGAGUUUAAUUGACUUGUGAUUAUCUCAAAGAGAGAGACUAUACAACUCUCGAUGUACGAAGAAAGGAAAAGCACUUCCCCAACAGAUAAAUAAUUGUUCAGUACAUAAUAAAAUAUUUUUUGUCCAAUAAUACACGACCUAUACCACGUGCCUACGUACGAGCGAAAAUUUCUACUUAAUUAAUUGACCUUUAUUUUUUAUUUCUCUAUUACUCCUCUACUUUUAUCUUGAUCCCCAUUUGAGAAAGGACCUUUAGUUUAGUGAGUCUUAAAUUUCAGAGAAUAGUUUUCAGAGAUUGAAAGUAAAGAUGAAUAACAGCAUCGACAGCUGGAAUUUAAGUGAAAUGUUGUUUAGUUCGGCAGACUUAAUUUGCUAAAAUUAUUCACCAAACAUUAAUUUCCAUCUCAAUCUGAUUACCUCAUCAAACUUUGCAUAAUUUUUAAACAAAACAAAAAAACGAUAGCUAAUUUAGUUACCACAUAAUUAAGUAUAACUAGUGAAAUAUCCGCGCGAUGCUGCGGAUCUAAAAUAUUUUUACUAUAGUUUUAAAUUUUAAUAUUUUUAUAUAGUGUUAUAAGUCUAAUUAUUAAUUAUAUAAAAAUAAUUUAAUAGUUAAAUCUAUUUAAAUAAAAGUCAUUAAAAUUGUAUAUGCGCAAAUAAAUUUAUACAUCACUUUAUUUAUAAAGAUUUCUGUGAGAAGGAUUUGAGAUAAAUUUAUCAAAUAAUUUUUAAAAAAUCAAUUGAUAGAAGGGAGAAUAAAUUUGUAGAAAAUUGCUUAAUAAAAUUAAUUAUAUAUAUAUACACAUAUACACUAAUAUUUUUAAAAUUUUCACUUGAAAUUUAAAUUAUGUUUUUUUUAUACAACGAUAUAUUUACGUAAUUUAAAUUAAAUCUAUCAUGUUAAAUUUAUUAUGCGAUUUAUUACGCAUAUUAUUAAUAAAUUAAUUAAUAAUUUCAUGAAAUUUAAAUUAUGUAUUUUUUAUACAACGAUAUUUUACGUGAUUUAAAUUAAAUCUAUCAUGUUAAAUUUUAUUAUGCGAUUUAUUACGCGUAUUAUUAGUAAAUUAAUUAAUUAAUUUCACAGAGUUAGAGAUUUAAAUUUUAAAUUUUGAAGAAAUUAAUUAUGUAUUUUUUUUACAACGAUAUUUUACGUGAUUCAAAUUAAAUCUAUCAUGUUAAAUUUUAUUAUGCGAUUUAUUACGUGUAUUAUUUAUAAAUUAAUAAUUAAUUUCAUAGAGUUUAGAGAUUUAAAAUUUAAAUUUUAAAGUUACAAAAUUGCAAAUAAAUAUUAAAGUUAAAAUGAAAUUUAGAAUUUAAAAUAUAAAAUUUAAAUUAAAAUUUAAAAUUUGAAAGCAUCAAAAUUUUAAAUUUGAUAUCAAAAUUUAAAAUAUUAUAUAUAUAUAUAGGAGAGAGAGAGAGAAGAGGAGAGAGAGAGUAAAGUAGGGUUUGGGGGGAAGGGGUGAUACGUGUUCACUCUAUGCGCCCCCAAACCAUCCUCUAAUGUAAAAAAUAGAUUUAAAUUAAAUUUAUCAUUGUAAAUUUUAUUAUGCGAUUUAUUAUGCGUAUUAUUAAUAAAUUAAUUAAUUAAUUUCAUGAAAUUUAAAUUAUGUAUUUAUUUAUACAAACGAUAUUUUACGUGAUUUAAAUUAAAUCUAUCAUGUUAAAUUUUAUUAUGUGAUUUAUUACGCGUAUUAUUAAUAAAAUUAAUUAAUUAAUUUCAUAGAGUUUAGAGAUUUAAAUUUUAAAUUUUGAAGAAAUUUAAAUUAUGUAUAUUUUUUAUACAGCGAUAUUUUACGUGAUUUAAAUUAAAUCUAUCAUGUUAAAUUUUAUUAUGCGAUUUAUUACGUGUAUUAUUAUAUAAAAUUAAUUAAUUAAUUUAUAGAGUUUAGAGAUUUAAAAUUUUAAAUUUUAAAUUACAAAAUUGGAAAUAAUAUUAUAAGUUAAAAUUGAAAUUUAGAAUUUAAAAUAUAAAAUUUAAAAAUUUGAAGUAUCAAAAUUUUAAUUUUGAUAUCAAAAUUUAAAAUUAUAUAAAUAUUAUAUAUAUAAGAGAGAGAGAGAGAGAGAGUAAAGGGGUUUGGAGGGAGGGGGUGACACGUGUCACCCUAUGGGCCCCCAACCCUCCUUUAAUAUAAAACUAGUGAAAUCCCUGCGCGAUACUGCGGAUAUAAAAUUUUUUUAAUAAAUUUUAAUUUUUUAUAAUUUAAAAUAAUUUUAUAAGUCUAACUAUUAAUUAAAUAAAAGUUAUAUAAAAAUAAUUAAUAAUUAAUUUUAUUAAAUAAAAUUUAUUGAAACGACAACUUAUUUAUUAAAGAUUUAUGUAAAAAAGUUUGAGAUAAAUAUAUAAAACAAUUUUAAAAUUAAUAAAUAGAAGGGAAAUAAAUAAAUAGAGAAUUUGUUUAAUAAAAUUAAUUUUAUAUAUAUACACACGCGCCCAUAUAUUUUAUAAAUCUUACUCCUCAAUUUAAAUUGUAUUUUUUAUACAUCGAUCAAAUUAGAUUUAUUAUACGAUUUAUUACUUGUGUUAUUAAUAAUAUUAAUUAAUUAUAUUAUAUACAAUGAAUUAUUAAUAAAAUUAAUUAAUUAAAUUCAUAGAGUUUAGAGAUUUAAAUUUUAAAUUUUGAAGUUUAAAAUUUGAAAUAAAUAUUAGAAAUUAAAUGAAAUUUAAAAUUUUAAAAUUUGAAAGUAUCAAAAUUUAAAUUUUGAUAUCAUAUAUAUAUAUAUAUAUAUAUAUUAUAUAUAUAUAUAUAUAUAUAUAUAUAAAAUUUUGAAGUUUAAAAUUUAGAAAUAAAUAUUAUAAAUUAAAUUUAAAUUAAAUAAAAUUUAAAAUUUUGAAAGUAUCAAAAUUUUAAUUUUGAUUUCAAUAUAUAUAUAUAUAUAUAUAUAUAUAUAUAUAUAUAUAUAUAUAUAUAUAGAGUUGAGCUAGAAUACUCUCGAUUAGUAACGAGCCCGUUUACUCUCGAGUUGUUUCGAUGAUAGAGCUUCCAAAUUGACGAUCGGCUCCGUUAAAUAUGAUCUAAACCAUUUAAACUACUAGAAAUCAGAUUUCACGCACUUUCAGAUAUUGUUUAUAUCCAUCUAGUGAACAGAAAAAUGAAUGGCUGAAAAUGAAUAUUACUUUUUAAAAAAUGAUGAUAGGAGUCUUGUAAUCAAGAUCAAGAGUAUAGAUCUUGUUUUAAAUAGUUUAAAGAAUUUUCUAACAAAAAUUCAAUUGAUUUGAAUAUCUUUACACCGUUAAACGAGAAAACGUCUCUUAUCCACCAUUAAAAUUACAAAUUUUGAAACCCUUUGAUCAUUAGGCAAAUGAUGUCGAAAAGAUUUGAAAUUUGAUUUCUAAACACUUCAAGUGGUAUAAAUCAUGUUCAACGGAGCCGAUCGUCAAUUUGGAAGCUCUAUCAUCGAAAACAACUCGAGAGUAAACGGGCUCGUUUACUCUCGAGAGUAUUCUAGCUCAACUCUAUAUAUAUAUAUAUA
rnacentral:lncRNA from 1 species